UACGUAGGGGGCUAGCGUUGUCCGGAAUCAUUGGGCGUAAAGCGCGUGUAGGCGGUUCGGUAAGUAGGGGGUGAAAUCCUGCGGCUUAACCGCAGGGCUGCCUUCUAAACUGUCGGCUCGAGCACGGUAGAGGCAGAUGGAAUUCCCGGUGUAGCGGUGGAAUGCGUAGAGAUCGGGAAGAACAUCAGUGGCGGAAGGCGGUCUGCUGGGCCGUUGCUGACGCUGAGGCGCGACAGCGUGGGGAGCAAACAGG
rnacentral:rRNA from 1 species